rnacentral:misc_RNA from 1 species
GCCCAACUUGCUAUUCUAAAAAAAAACAGAGACAACCAGAAAAGAGGAAAACUAAGCUAGCAAUCUAAAAAGCAAACUGAUGAAUGGCUUGCAUAGUUUUCUGGCUGGCCAUAAACACAGCUAAUAUAAGCAAUCUCCCUGGCUAGACAUCCCCAAGUUCUGCCUUCCUUCUCGAAGAUUCUGUGAUUCCUCCCAACCCAAAUCGCAUAGACAUACUCAGUAUACACUGUCUAGUUUAUAGAUCUACCAAGUUAAUUUCAACUUAUACAGAUUAUCAACUAAUCUUCAUCCAGAGAUUUAUCUAUACUUACUUAAUUAAUAAAUCUGUAAUUACUUAAUUGAUA